CCGCGGAAGCUUUAUUGCUGGCAAAAGUGUCCAUAACCAGAGCUGUUUUGGUGAACCCCUCUCGCAUCUGAACUGACUGACACAGAGGGUAAAGCAUCAUCAGAGGUAUGUUUUGAUGUGAGAGAGGAAGCAAGUCCCAUCACCGCC